rnacentral:lncRNA from 1 species
AUUUCAAUAUCUAGAUAUUAAAUAACAGUUGGCAAAACAAAACAAAAGUAAUAAUAAUAAUAUAUACAUAUUGUGACAGGGUGAAGAAGCACACGACACGAGGGUCAAGGUAAGUUCCCCGAAGGGUGGAUUUUAUUGAGGUGGUGUAGGGAAAAAUAGCCAACGUGAGGGGUUUCCGGUGCUCAGUCUCCUCUUCCUCCUUUGGUGGUCAGUGCUGUGUGGGUCCGUGAGGUCCGUGUCUUUAACGGGCUGGCGGACACACGUUGCUGUCUGGAGGGGAAACACAGAAAAGUGUAAGCUGAGUCUUCUGGAGACAUCUGUCACCUCUGUAUUCGACGACGCUGCUUAUAAAGCCCGUUUCCAAUGGGCUGCAGGUGUGACCGCUCAGCCCGUAAUGAGCAGGUGCAGGCGUGUCUGUUCUGUUUCCAGGGCGACGCUGAUGAGUGCUCGGGCCACGCAUCACAAUAUAUAUAUAUAUAUAUAUAUAUAUAUAUAUAUAUAUAUAUAUAUAUAUAUAUUAGAGUUACAACUUUUGGGCAUUAACACGUGAUUAAUUCAAAAUUUUUAACACAUUAAAAUGAUCUAAUGCAAAUAAACUACUUAAGCAUGUGAAGUUGCGUCAUUAAUGUAUUUCACCACAUGCAGUUAGAUGAUCUUGAAAGUCAGGAGUUAAUCACUCAGAGAAUCUACAAAGGCACAAGCACCUGAAACCCGGGCUCCAGCCAUGGCCUCCCAAAUCUCCAGCUCCGCCAUGACUUCCCGAGUCUCUUGCUUGCCCCGCCAUGGCCACCCGAGGUUCCUUCCCCACCAUGCCCCCCACCCCCCACUGUUGGUUGUUAUAGGGCGUGAGGACUUCCGGAGGGGGAAGCAGUCCUGUGACCCAGUUUUCGUCAUCAUGUUGAUUAUUACUUCGAUUUCAGAUCAACCCGUACAAAAUUCCGUCAGUGUGAACAGGAGCAGGUCAAAACUGUCUGAUUUUCACUACGUGAACUGACAAGAGCACUGACGAGGAGGCACUGCUGCUUAUGCAAGUAAUCAGAUUUUUCUCCAGUUUUACACCAAAGACUGAAAUGACUGAGAAUGUGAAUGUUAUAUCAAGCAUGCACAGUAAUACGAUUUUCCAAGUCAACAAGGUGGACGAUUUCCUUUUGGUGCUCAGAUGAAUAAAUUACCUUAACUAAUGGAUUUUACAAAAGCUCCUGAAUCUUUUUCUGACUUUAAUGCAAUAAAUGAGUCUAAUAAAUGUUUUUUUCUAUUAAAAAAAAUUGUACUCUUCUAGCUAUUUUCACUGGGUGUUUUAAGCCAGUCUGUGCUGUUUAUUUGAGUCAAAAGGAAAUUUCCUUUCGAGACAGAGUUGUUAAUGUGGGAUUAAAAACCAAUCAAGCUCUAAUUCCCAAAGGGAACUGCAGUCGAUGAAGCAUGCGAAAGACGAACAGAUGAAGGCACAAAUUUCCCAGAGGAGGCAAACUUAUAUGACAGUAUUCUGAAGUGCAC